GAUUCCGAGAAUGAAGUGGUCCCUGGAGCCCUGCUGGCAGGACGGACCAGGGACGGACCAGGGAUAUUGAAUGAGUCACAAAUAGCUCCCCAACUCACGGAUUAGCACUGUUGCUUUCCUCAGCGUGAGGUCUUCCCCCUGAGAAUGAUUUACGUAUGACUGCACCCACAAUCAUUUUUCUGUGACUCCUCUGUGACUUUCAUCAGGAUCGUUUCCACCACUCUGGAUGAAACCAUCAGAGUUGUUCAAACCAGGGGAACAGGCCACUCUGAACCAAAUGUACUUUCAUAUCCUGUCCUAUAGUGUUAACAGCUGCUUGCUGAUAAGAAAAAUUCAGCAAUUCUCCCUCUUCCUUAUUUUCUCUCACUGUACUUCACAUAAUGUUUUAAGAAUCUACAUAUAGGCUACAGUACCAUUAGUAGUUAUCCCUUGUGUGAUCUAAGACUGAUAUACAGUCAAUACACACAGAUCUUGCUUUUAAUCAUAUAGUCAUGAUAAUAGAGGUUUAUACAUUUUUCGACUUUAUGUAAACAACAUGUCUUAUUUAUUUAUCAGUUGAUUUACUUAUUGGCAGGGUGAGGGUUAUUGGCCUGACCUGUGUACAGCAGUAUGUCUAGCUACUAUUUUAUGUCUGGUGAAGCUGGGUAAAGUGACUUGGAAUAACCCAAAAACCAAAGAGACAAUGUGUUACAGCUCUCAUAGCUUAUAUUUUGUAUUACAGCAUAAAACUGCAGACCCCUUGAAAAUAAAUUCUUUUAAUAUUUUAUUGAUGAACAACAAAGAGUGUCAAGUGAGCCAAGUUUUGAACGAACAGUAGGUUUUCUGACUAGCACCCGACAACUGGGUGACUGUACUGUACAAGGCUGACAUCUCAACAAACAACUAUUACAUCAUGAUUUUACAUUAAUUACAAUUAUAACUCUAGAAUUAAUUAUUAUCACUGAAUGAACUUGGAUGGGUUCAGAUGUUCAUUCAGCACCCGAACAAUCACGUGAUGUUUCAUUCGAGAAUGGACCAAAGCAUGUCUGACAUUAUUGGGAUGGUGAUAGGUAAUUAUUCUGUCCUUUUUUCAGUUUAUGAUGAAAUGUUUGCACACGUCUUUAGUUGCUGUGAUCACAAUCAUUUAAAAAUCAGGCUUGUGCAACAUUUAAGAGGAUUAAAUUUAAAGUGUUUCCUUGUAAACGAGGGCUCUGGCUCUGCCUAUCAGCUUUUGGAUGGUCUGUAUCAGUUGUCUCCAUCACAUUAAAUGAGUGUUUACACUGUAUAUGUAAAGCAGAUUGGCUCAAAUCUUAUCUGAAUGACAAUACAAACUCUGAAUAGUUCCAUGUUUGGCCUUUUGUCUUAGUAUAGCUUGUGUUUCCAUCCUCCUCUGUUCAGUUCGACAAAGUGCAUGCAAGUGUUUACAAAAUGAAACUUACUGAAUUUAUGAUAAAUAACAUGAUUUAUAGAAUAAGCAAGCUUUCUUUUUAGCUGCAGAGUCAUUGAAGAAACAGCAAGUGUUUAUCUUCCGAGUUCCUUUUGCAUGCAUAUGUAUGUGCACCACAGCACUGCAUGGGUAACAAACAGGAAGGAAGGUCACCUCCCACUGAUGUUUGCUGUGUAGCACAGUGGUCCAGAUGUUACAACAGAAACUUUGAGCAACAGUAAUCCCAAGAGCGUCAGACAGUAUCUGGAAGCUGUUUUAAUUAAGACACAUCAAGGCAAGGACUAUUUUUCACAAUGGCCCACUUUAGCUGCAGGCUGUCAGCCCCAGUCUGCGCUCCCAACGCUGAGCCAACAGGUGCAGGCAGGCAGACUGAGCGCGCAGGCUGGAUGAGUCUGUCAAAGACAGAUGUGUGACAGAGAAGCCAUAACAGAGUUACAGGUCAGAAGAUGCAGUGAUGCAGUGUAUUUGGAAAUGGAGAAGUUGUUAUACUGUGUGUAAGCACCAUUUUUCGCACAGUAUUAAACUACAUCUGUUAACAGUGACAUGAUCACUGAGCUCAAUAUUUUUUACGUAUGUUGAAUCCGUGAUUGACAUAACAUCCUUUUCCAGUGCUGGGUGGGUGGAGAUGUCACUGGACUAAAAGUUAAUAUGAUCUUAAUGCAAGUAUGGAAGCAAAGUAGGUCCAUAAUUAAAGAAACUGGUGAUGCAAGAUUAUUAUUUCACUGUGUUGUAGCCUCAUCAAUAUCAAUUAUAUGUGUUAUAUGUAUUGUUGAUACACCCGCCUAUAAAGAGAACUGAACUGACUUGA